CACCAGUUGAUUCAUGAACAGAAGUGUUAAAGGAAAAUAUUGAAGAUUGUAACCAUAAAUCCCAAUUAUCCUUUUCGCAAUAAUGUCUAAGAUAUUCAAUAAAUGUGUGAUGACUUCGUUCCAAUGCUCCCAAUGAUUGUGGAUGAUAGGCAGUCGAUUUAUAUUGUUUAAUCUUAAGGGGUUAUGCCACUCUAGGAUUUUCAAAAAAUCGCUUUUUUUUUUUUGCUUUAAAUAGUUCCUUAGGGUCUCAGAAAUAACAUAUUGCAGGAUUAUGGCUCGGAAAGAUCUCUAAAUAAUUUAUUUUCGAAGUUCCUUGCAAGGCUGCACGGUACGCGGCGAGCUCAUUUUGUAAGUUCUACGGGGGGUAAUAUUUGAAGGAUCUACAGCAGGUAUACGGCAGAUGUUUUCAAAGGCGCUAGUUACUUGCUAGACUAUAGUGGUCAAUUAUAUGGUGCAGGCAUUGCAGAUUAAAGGAGCAGUUAGUUCGGCCACGUACCCCUUGAACCAUAGAGGAGUCGAAGGACGACCGCUACAGCGCCACCAUUCUUCAAGAAAUAUUUAUAAGAAAUUAUUUUUUUACACCUAAAAAGAUGUAUAAUAAACUUCUUAUAUUAUAUUUUUAA